CUUAACACAUGCAAGUCGAGGGGCAUCAGGAAGAAAGCUUGCUUUCUUUGCUGGCGACCGGCGCACGGGUGAGUAACACGUAUCCAACCUGCCCUUUACUCGGGGAUAGCCUUUCGAAAGAAAGAUUAAUACCCGAUAGCAUAAUGAUUCCGCAUGGUUUCAUUAUUAAAGGAUUCCGGUAAAGGAUGGGGAUGCGUUCCAUUAGGUUGUUGGUGAGGUAACGGCCCACCAAGCCUUCGAUGGAUAGGGGUUCUGAGAGGAAGGUCCCCCACAUUGGAACUGAGACACGGUCCAAACUCCUACGGGAGGCAGCAGUGAGGAAUAUUGGUCAAUGGGCGCUAGCCUGAACCAGCCAAGUAGCGUGAAGGAUGAAGGCUCUAUGGGUCGUAAACUUCUUUUAUAUAAGAAUAAAGUGCAGUAUGUAUACUGUUUUGUAUGUAUUAUAUGAAUAAGGAUCGGCUAACUCCGUGCCAGCAGCCGCGGUAAUACGGAGGAUCCGAGCGUUAUCCGGAUUUAUUGGGUUUAAAGGGAGCGUAGGUGGACUGGUAAGUCAGUUGUGAAAGUUUGCGGCUCAACCGUAAAAUUGCAGUUGAUACUGUCAGUCUUGAGUACAGUAGAGGUGGGCGGAAUUCGUGGUGUAGCGGUGAAAUGCUUAGAUAUCACGAAGAACUCCGAUUGCGAAGGCAGCUCACUGGACUGCAACUGACACUGAUGCUCGAAAGUGUGGGUAUCAAACAGGAUUAGAUACCCUGGUAGUCCACACAGUAAACGAUGAAUACUCGCUGUUUGCGAUAUACAGUAAGCGGCCAAGCGAAAGCAUUAAGUAUUCCACCUGGGGAGUACGCCGGCAACGGUGAAACUCAAAGGAAUUGACGGGGGCCCGCACAAGCGGAGGAACAUGUGGUUUAAUUCGAUGAUACGCGAGGAACCUUACCCGGGCUUAAAUUGCAGUGGAAUGAUGUGGAAACAUGUCAGUGAGCAAUCACCGCUGUGAAGGUGCUGCAUGGUUGUCGUCAGCUCGUGCCGUGAGGUGUCGGCUUAAGUGCCAUAACGAGCGCAACCCUUAUCUUUAGUUACUAACAGGUUAUGCUGAGGACUCUAGAGAGACUGCCGUCGUAAGAUGUGAGGAAGGUGGGGAUGACGUCAAAUCAGCACGGCCCUUACGUCCGGGGCUACACACGUGUUACAAUGGGGGGUACAGAAGGCAGCUAGCGGGUGACCGUAUGCUAAUCCCAAAAUCCUCUCUCAGUUCGGAUCGAAGUCUGCAACCCGACUUCGUGAAGCUGGAUUCGCUAGUAAUCGCGCAUCAGCCACGGCGCGGUGAAUACGUUCCCGGGCCUUGUACACACCGCCCGUCAAGCCAUGGGAGCCGGGGGUACCUGAAGUACGUAACCGCAAGGAUCGUCCUAGGGUAAAACUGGUGACUGGGGCU
rnacentral:rRNA from 1 species